GGAAGCGAGGAGGAUUGGUGUCCUGCAAACCCGGAGCACAAAGUGACGAAGAGCACAGGGGGUCAGGGUGUUGCUGAAAGUUGUUGCGGUGGCGGGGCUUGGUCCUGUGUCUUGGGCUUUUCUUUUGAGAACUCAAGUCGGCGCACUGGGCGAAAGAGGCUGCCACUGCCCGGAAACCGAGCUAGGAGAAGCUACGGUGUCAUAAGCCGCAGGAGAAUUCGAACUGUGAGUCUGAAAGGCAGUACUUUGGUGAACCAGAUCUCUUUACUUCCCCUCUCCCCAUGGCCAUCCUGGAGAGCAUCUAGGCAGUGGGUGAGGAGAAGUCAGCCCUGGGAAGCUUUGCCCUUACUCCUCUUCUCUUCAUUGGCCGUGCUCUCCUCCCAUUGUUUCUCUACCUACAGUCAGAUAUCUACAUCAGUAGAACCUGAGGCUUUUCUUCGUGUCAAUGAAGUUAAGAUUUCUUAAGGAUAAUCAUGAAGAAGCAUUUAUUAAAUGCAUGCUGGCCCUGCACAUGGUGAGAGGGCCUCUGAGUUAUAGACAGUGAUUCAAAUCCCAGUUCUAACUUACUGGGUACAUGAUCCUGGUCAAGUCACUUGUCUUUUCAGUACCUCAGUAAUAUUCUAACACUCUAACUUGUAGAACAACUGCCAUUCUGCAUUGGCAGAAUUUUCUCAUCACUGCAAUGAGGGUUUUCUAUAUCAAUGAAAUCAAAGGUCUACUUUAAAAAGAAACAUACAAAAUUAAAAUGUUGUUAAUUCCAUCACUAGUUUUGUGAAAAAUCACAGUUGUCAUCUUUUUUGCCUGUACUCCUGAGGUUCACUUUAAGCAAUCUGUUUGUGUAAAUAUAAGCCUGUAAGAAAUUUGUUUAAGGUUAAGAAAACACACAAAAACAGAGUCACUCAUUUGUAGGUGUCUUUCAGCACAAGGCACUAGGCAAAGGGCCCAAAAGGGUUAACCUGGGAGGUCCAGAUGAAGAGAAAACUAUUAAAAGGAAAGGCCAGCCUGAACCUGAGCCUGGACCAGCACCUGGACUACCUAAUGAGGCCCCCUUUUCCUUUAAACACAUAAUUAUCAUAUCACUCUUUAGCUACUACUGCUUUCACUUAAUUUUGGAGUGAAUAUGCAAUCUCUCUCCAGGGAAAAUUUUCAGUUUCAUACUGCUGAUUGUUCUGUCAAAUGGUAAGCUUAGGCCAUAUUUUUCUCUCUGAUUUUUUAAAAAAGGAGGGGGAAUGAGAUACAGAGAUAUUAAUUGUAUUCCUUUUUUUUUUAUAGCUUUCCUAAUUCUGAAU
rnacentral:lncRNA from 1 species